rnacentral:rRNA from 1 species
AUUGAACGCUGGCGGCAGGCCUAACACAUGCAAGUCGAGCGAGCGGCGGACGGGUGAGUGAUGUCUGGGAAACUGCCUGAUGGAGGGGGAGAACUACUGGAAACGGUCGCUAAUACCGCAUACCAUCAGAUGUGCCCAGAUGGGCUUAGCUAGUGGGUGGGGUAACGGCUCACCUAGGCGACGAUCCCUAGCUGGGCUGAGAGGAUGACCAGCCACACUGAAACUGAGACACGGUCCAGACGCCUACGGUAGGCAGCAUUGGGGAAUAUUGCACAAUGGGCGCAAGCCUGAUACAGCCAUGCCGCGUGUGUGAAGAAGGCCUUCGGGUUGUAAAGCACUUUCAGCGGGGAGGCGUUACCCGCAGAAGAAGCACCGGCUAACUCCGUGCCAGCAGCCGCGGUAAUAC